rnacentral:tRNA from 1 species
GCAGACGUAGCCAAGUGGUAUGGCACCUGACUUUUAAUCAGGGUAUCGGGGGUUCGAUCCCCUCCGUCUGCA